UGGGAUCGAUCAAGAGCAGGAGGGGGCAAGACCAAACCCUAACUUCACAAAUCCUCCAAAAACAGAAGGGAAUUUAGAGUUUUAGUGAAUGCAUGAGCCCUAAUUCGAGUAAUCUAAGCUUGUUCAACCCUUGGCGUUAAAGAAGAAAGUUCGAGUCAAGUGAAGCAACAAGGGGAUCUAGACCGAGGUAAAUCUCAUGUCUAGUUAUCAAGCUUGCCCGGAUCGAACACACCUCAAGCCCGUCAAG